UACGAAGGGGGCUAGCGUUGUUCGGAAUUACUGGGCGUAAAGGGCGCGUAGGCGGUACUUCAAGUCAGGCGUGAAAGCCCCGGGCUCAACCUGGGAACCGCGCUUGAGACUGGAGAACUAGAGUUCGGGAGAGGAUGGUGGAAUUCCCAGUGUAGAGGUGAAAUUCGUAGAUAUUGGGAAGAACACUGAUGGCGAAAGGCAGCCAUCUGGACCGACACUGACGCUGAGGCGCGAAAGCGUGGGAGC
rnacentral:rRNA from 1 species